GUCAGACAAUUGAUUUCUUCUUCUCCUCUUAAAUAUUAGUUCAUAUUGUGUUACCUUCUUAUAUUAAAUUUUAACUUCAAGACAAGCUGGCUAAAAAGCAAAAAAGAACUGUAGGAUGAAACUUUCGGUCGAGUAUUUACGAUAUCUCAAAAAAACGCUUCCGUAAUCGUACGAGAAGGGACUUCAGAGUUAAUGACAUGCAUCCCAAACCAAUGGAGGUCGAUAUGUUAGAAGAAACCAUGCUUUGGGAAGACGGCAUUGCACAAUCGCCAAUGGCGUCUGUAAUUUUGGUACAGACACUAUGGAGUGUUGAUUAAUUUUAAAAUGUAUGAACAGUUUUGAACAAGUAAAGAGCACAUCGAUGAAC